rnacentral:snoRNA from 1 species
CCCCUCUCAGGGUCACAUCUGGAGAGUUUCCAGUACUCUACCAGUCUUGGCUAUGGGAAAGGGAGUCAAGCAGAGGCCUGUCCAUUCUAUUCCUAGCUUGGCCAGUGGCUAGCAAGUGGAAGGCAAUCUGCUACAAGU